CCUACUUCGCUAAAUUACUUAUCGAUAGAGGAGGAAGGCGAUUAAAUGGAGUCGGCCUCAAGAUCUAGCGGGGACGAAGACGAGCCUGGGAGAUCUCUGGGAUCAUCUCAAAGAGGUUUGCUUGAGACAUAAAUAGUCUAUUCACGGCUCAAAUCUAUUCUGCUAAACGGUUCUAAAGAGGGAAGAUGGGGGAAGGAGAGGGCGGCGGACUAAACUGCAGCUGCUAACGGAUGAAACUACAGUAGCAGAUGACGUUGUCGACGGCGACAAACGGAGCUGUAACAUCGGACGGAACGAACGACGGUAGGGUUUCAUUUUCACCUCUGCUUUCUUUCAGUGGGUCGGGUUGGGGCUGUCAGGUCACAGCGUUAGUUGGUUCCAUUGAACCAACUUAUCAAGUCCAAUCGAACGCUCGAGGCGCCCAACGCCUGGGCUCAGGCGAGCGCCGGAGCAGCGCUUCAAGGGGGUUUGCGAGGCGCUCAGGCCUCACCUCACCUUGCCCGACAUAAUUGGCAAAGGUUGACGAAGCAUGUGAUUUCAGAAACUUGAGCUUCACAAUUCCAACAAAAGGUGUGAAAGAGAAUAAUCCAUCAGCAUUUCAAUCAGAGAGAGGAGAAACUUUUUACUACCUGACGAUUUAGCCUUUAGUGUCUUUCCUACCAAUAGCAUCUCCAGGUGAUUGUGCAGGUGUAUGUAAGUUUUAGAGACAGAGGGGGGGGGGAGGGGGCACAAUAAAUUACCUGUGAUCUCUGACAUAGAUGGCAUUGAUGGAAGUAGACCUUGUUCCCCCCUUGGUUUGAAGAAGUGACUGUAACAUAAGCCGAGACGUAGAAUCGGGAUAUGUCUGAACAAGUGACUGAGAAUCAGAGACAUACACAUGAGUAAUUGUAAAUUGUAUGUCUGGAUAAGUUUAGAGUUUAAAUGCUAGUCUUAGAUACAGCUAUGGAUUGACCCAGUGGCCGGAGCUAUUGGUAUUUUGAAUGCCACCUUCAGUUCUGCAUGAAAAUUACUUGGCAAGGGCCUCAGGCAUUCCGACUGUAAACAGGUUGAUAAACGUUGAGAGGCCUAUGGAUCCUUUGAUCAUUUUGUCGCUUUUGUUCUCUGUUGUUGUAGGGUGAUGAUAUGGGUGAUUGAAGUUAGCGUCAUCUUUUUCUGAUUUUUUUUUAAAUGUGAUUGCCAAUUUACAUGUUAAGUUAGCGUCAUCUUUUCUUAUUGACCUAUGUAAGUGCAUACAAGACGAAUGUCCAGUUCUUGUCUGGGAACCCCUCACAAUUUCCUGCCAAGGUGGUCAUGUAAAUUUGCAUUUUGUUAUUUUGGAUCUUCAAGUUAAUACUCCCCAGAUCAUAUCUGGCUUGACGUUUUGAGAAAGCUAAAGUCAAUUUUGGUUGUUGUCAAGGCCUUCUUCGUGGGUAGAUUAUAUCUUGUUCCUAAAUGUGGAAUUAGCUCCUUAUGUGUUACCUGCAAACAGGUUUCUGACCAUAAUUUCACAAGUAGUAGCUAGUAUGGGAUUAGAUCAGUCUGAAGCCAGCAUUUCUGUGCAAAUCAGCCUCAGUAGACGUGCAAUCAGAAGACCUACCGGUACUAACAUGCUGAACACAAAGGUAUGUAUUAAUCUACUUGUUCUUUGUCAUUUGUCUGGAAACUGAAUUAGAGAACACGAUCAUGAAAUAUGCUGAACGUGCAUAUAUGUGACUCUCUUCUAAUUUUCCAUGGUAUUCAAUGCUACUGGGCAAAUGCACCACAGAUUUACGUGUUCUAUAUGUAAAUUAUUUUUCAUAUUUUUAAUGGAUUAUAAUUGUUGAGUUUGGAUGAAUAAUAUCAUACAGAAUAAUUGGCUUGUGUUAGAUGAAUAAUUGGCUUAUGUUCAUUAAAUAAUUAACUUCAUUUAUUAUUUUGAAGGGAAAUGGUUUGACUAUUUUACACCAAGACUCCUCGUGAUAACAAAUUGGCUUUAGAGCACUCCUAAGUCCGCUUAAAUGUCUGGAACCUCACUUUUUUUCCAUCCACCAUUGAUCACCGUGAUGAAAGAUCCUAUCUGGCAAUCAGGUGGCAGAAAAUUGCUUAGUCAGCUUCAAGGUAGCACAGGAGAUGACAUGUCUGACAAGUUAUCCAAGAAAAUUGGAAGGAUACCUCUUGUGUGUUGAUUCUUUUGCACGAUGACUCCUUGCAAGUUACUCCUGAAGAACUCCUGGUUCGUUGGAAUUUCCUCUGACCUCUUUGUGUUCAUCCACCAUGAUCGUAGACUCAUGUAAGAUCAGUUAAUUGCAUCAUAAUGUUUAUGGCCUGAAAACCUAAACUGAUUGACGUGAUAUAUUUUAGUUUCUCACUAUAAUUUGUUAAUCAAUAUUUAGUAUCAUACUGCAAGUAUUAUUAUUGAUAGAUAUAACAAGACAAUAAUUACAGUCAUGUAUUUUACUGCAUUGUUAGCUUCCUGGAGAAUUAUCUGAGAUAUCAUUGUUACUUGUGCUCUUGGUGUUGUUACCUCUCAUUUAGAGACACGGAGAUAACAAGAUGGAACCUAAGCUUUUCUUGUUCAACCCCACCCGUUUCUCCUGGACAUUGUUGCUUUCCCUAAAUUUAGUUGAGAUAUGUUAGGUUUCUGGUCUAAUUAGUUUCAUAUUGGACCUACCAUGUUAAGUUUUGUGUAAAAGGUCGAAAAGUAAGUGAUGUAAGUAGGAUUCGAGCCUAGAACUUUGUGAUAAAUUGUUAAAGUCUUGACACUUUCUAUCAUGUCAAAUGUUGCUAAAAGAAACAUGCUUGGGUGUUUAAUCACUAGUUCCUCAUCUCAUUGUAGGAUUACAUUGUCCGGUCAACUGUGCUGAGAGAGCAAAACUGGGGAGUCUGAACAAGCUGGAAAGAGGUGAAAGGUCGAUACCAGCUAUGCCGGUGAUGCUCUAAGAGCCUCUUUGUUCUUUUUUGGUAUUUGCAUAUUCCUUGAAGAGUUUUAUAAUGACAUGUCUGAGUUCUUGUGGCCUUCACCAUGAAUCUUUUGUCGGAGGUGGAAGUCUGUGGGUGUGAAUUGUCACGACCCGAGUCUAAAAUGUUUAAGCGGGAGUUAACGUAGUACACUCAUCAGACCCUUAUAAGUUAAU
rnacentral:lncRNA from 1 species